GUUGGGUGUGGUGGUGCACACCUGUAAUUCCAGCAACUUGGGAGGCUAUGACAGGAGAAUUACAGAUUUGAGACUAGCCUCAGUAAUUUAGUGAAACCUUGUCUC
rnacentral:sRNA from 1 species